AAACAUCGCCACUAUUAAAUCGGUCAGGAUUGCACCUGAUGUUAAAAAUCGUGUUAACAUCAGUUUGUGAAAAAACCGAUUUCUAUUGUUAUUAUAGACAUCAGUCACUAACAGAAGCGAUGAGAAAUGUUUCGUUGGCAAAUUUUUAAAAAACGCGGAGGGACUAACUUUCAAAAAUUUGAGAACGCGGGGACUAAAAUUUCAUUCCCCCCUCCCCCUCCCCCCCCCCCCAACACUUCGUUUUUUUUUCCGCUUUCUCUAAAAUUUCAAACCCUACCUCCUUCUUCGGCAGAUCACCCUGUCGACCUCAUCAUUCUCCAAGCAGCCUCCGACCUGACCCCGAGUCCCCGACCUCAGUCUCUGACCCCGUGUUCCCCUGCCUCGCUCUCUGACCCCGAGUCCCCGAUCUCGUUCUCCAGACCUCCAGCUUGAGAUCCGAUCUGUCAUUAUUUUGUGAUAAGGACGACACCCGACUAUCAUCAUCUGCACUCCCUUUUUCAGGCUUGCUCCGCCACUUGGAUUUGGGUGCUGAUUUUGGAAGAAGGACCGAAGCAACUAGAUCUUGCGUUCUUGGAAUCAAAAGAGGAGGACAGAAGACUUUUGAUUGAAGUUGAAAAUGCUAGAAGCUCUCCAGGACAUUGAAAUUGCUUCCAGAUUAGUCGGUUUUGAUGCUGAUAGUGAUGUCUCUUUGGAUGAGAAGUAUAAGAAGCUCCGGUGUUGUAUGAAUCCACUACUCCACGAUAGUGAAGAUUAUUGGUUGAUUGAAAAGUAUCUUCUUACUACUCAUGCCCCUACACAUACGGAUUGGAGUCUUGAACUUGAAGAAGUUUUUUCACUUGAAAGGGAAGGGGAAUUGGAUAAAUACGCUCCUUGUGAUCAUCUGAAUAUUUCUGUACCGGCAUCAGACUCGAUCCAUGCUACUAGUUCUUUUGCACAACAAAGACAAGUGAAAGGACUUGCAGGGCUUUGGUUCCAGUUUUCUGUGAUGGGUAAUACUCGAGCCAUUGGUGCGUUUCUGGUGCUUGUGUUAGUCCAGUUCUUUGUUAUUGCAGCAGAGGCAAACACUCAGGAAUAUGGUUAUAUGCAGAUUCUUAUGGAUGAGUGGAAUAUAAAACCUCCUAGUUGGGUGAGUGCCGAUCCUUGUGACGGCUGGGAAGGUAUAUAGUGCACCAAUUCACGCAUCACUGCCUUGUAAGUUCUUGGUCUUCACCUUUUUAGUGCUCCUGGAAGUUGCUUGCUUCAUAUUUUAUGAGGAUAUUACCGGAAAAAUCUUAAAAACAGAAUGCUGCUUUGGCAUGGUUCUCGGUUUACGAACUUUGUGGGAAUACUUAGCCAAGGACUAAGAAAAGCUCCUCCUGAAGCUCCAGCUACUGGUUAUAUGUUUGGCAAGGGGAUUUACUUUGCUGACCUUGUCAGUAAGAGUGCUCAGUAUUGCUAUACAGAUAAGAAAAAUCAUAUGGGCCUCAUGCUUUUAAGUGAAGUUUCCUUGGGAGAGAUCCAUGAGCUCAUGAAGGCCACAUAUAUGGAUAAACCUCCUAAGGGAAAGCACUCUAAGAAGGGACUUGGCAAGAAAAAACCUGAGUCGGACUAUGUUAAAUGGAGACAUGAUGCCACUGUGCCCUGGGCAAACCAGUGGAUUCACAUGUCAGGGCCUCUGAGCUAAUGUAUAAUGAGUAUAUUGUUUAUGAUACAGCUCAAGUAAGUUAUGAACUCUGUUCUUGUUUUUU